AUCUUCACACCAUCACCUUUCUCCUGGAAUUAACAGCUUCUUCUGAAGAAAGAAGGAAGAUAUUAGUGAAAAGGAAGGAGCUCUGCUUCUAGACAAAUCAACACAAGCUUGCUACCUUACACAUUCUUCUCCCAGUUUGACUCAGGGAAUCUCCUUUUUGCUGCCAAGGAAGAUAUAAAGGAUGCAGGAGCUGAGCUCCCACCAGAACUGUAGAAAAGCCCUAGAGAAUGCUGUAAGGCUAGAACAAUGCCUGGAGACUAAGCUGUUGGAGCAGAUGAGAAAUGGAAGUUUCGAUGCUCUCAGAGAUAGCUCCGGCUGGCAGUAGCAAUGGUAUUAGUCAGGGAAUGCAAGCCAUCCAGGCAACCUAAAGAAGACAACACCAUCAGUAUCAUACUUCUACACUGCUACAUUAAUGUCCAGAAUGAAGCUUCCCUCUUGACUUUGAAAAAAUAUUUCUUGAAACCAACUCUACUUGAGCCAUGCCUGCAAAUGACCAGCUUGUCUGUGCAAAGUGCAGGAUGGAAAUAUAUCACUCCAUCUCAGAGUUAUUGGGAGGCUCAGAUACAAUCAUGACUGUGAACACCCUGGAAAAUUUCAAAGAGCCCUACAAAUUUAAGUAUCUGGACAAAAGUAAAAAUAAUGGUGGAUUGGUGGGUGUCUGGAUGGGUCCUGGAAGUCUUUAUCUUCUCAAAAGUGGAAAACUGACAGCUUCAAAAAUCUGGACUUACCUGAAUAUUUAUUUAUUUAUUUUGAGAGGAGAGAACGAGCGAGCAAGAGAGAGAGAGAGUACAAGCAGGAGGCGGGGCAGAGGGAGAGGGAAAAGCAGACUCCUUGCUGAGCAGGGAGCCAGACGCAGAGCUCAAUGCCAGGACCCUGGGAUCAUGACUUGAGCCGAAGGCAGACACUUAACUGACUGAGCC
rnacentral:lncRNA from 1 species